rnacentral:rRNA from 1 species
AACGAACGCUGGCGGCAUGCCUAAUACAUGCAAGUCGAACGAGAUCUUCGGAUCUAGUGGCGCACGGGUGCGUAACGCGUGGGAAUCUGCCCUUGGGUUCGGAAUAACUUUUGGAAACGGAAGCUAAUACCGGAUGAUGACGUAUGUCCAAAGAUUUAUCGCCCAAGGAUGAGCCCGCGUAGGAUUAGGUAGUUGGUGAGGUAAAGGCUCACCAAGCCGACGAUCCUUAGCUGGUCUGAGAGGAUGAUCAGCCACACUGGGACUGAGACACGGCCCAGACUCCUACGGGAGGGAGCAGUAGGGAAUAUUGGACAAUGGGCGGAAGCCUGAUCCAGCAAUGCCGCGUGAGUGAUGAAGGCCUUAGGGUUGUAAAGCUCUUUUACCCGGGAUGAUAAUGACGGUACCGGGAGAAUAAGCUCCGGCUAACUCCGUG